GAGAAAUAGCAAAGGGUCAUGGUGUAAAGCCACCACCUCCAGGGCUGUUUGUUAUGUAGCAGUUGAUGACUGAUGGGAAACUCCAAUGUAUCUCAGAAGGAUGGAGGACCUCCCUGUGGGGAUGGCGGGUAGGUGCCAGCCCUGCCAACAGCCAGUGCACACCAUCUCAUUCCAUUCUCUCAGUACAGCUCCUCCUCGAUCCUCAGAGGCUCAGAGAACUACAGUCACCUGUCUAAAGACACACAGAAGAUGAGGACAGAGGCAGAAUUCAGUGCGGGGCCUUUUGACUUGGAAUCCUGAGUUCUUAACCAUGGUUCCAUGCUGGGGACAAGGCCUGGGCAGAGACCAGGACCUGUUCUGGGUGGAGCCUGGCAGGCCCUGUGGGGCCUAAAGUGAGCUGGCUGGGACCCUGUUCUUUGUAGAGUCAGCAAACGGUACACAUGACUGUGCUCAGCACUCCUGCUUCACAGCUGCCCAGAGGCUUGGCCCUGGUGCCAAAUAGGGUCUGUGCAGAGGCUGCUGGGCUGCCCUGGGUCGUGUGCCCUGCAGCACCUUAAAGGUUGGCUUGUCUUCGUGCUCUCAGUGCCAUGUGGUUCUCCGCUUCUCCCCCCAUAGUGGGAUUUACCAGAACUUUCCGGGGCCUAGAUGUCUGGAAAGACCCUCCCUACCACAUGAGUCCAGCACAGCCUGCGGGUGGUGGAUAAAGACCCCCAUCCUUGGUUUACUGAGCUGUAAAACAGGCAAUAACAGAGCCGUGGUGGGGCCUGCUGUGGGCAGGAGUCCUCAGUGGCCACAUUCUCUCUCCCUUCUCUUCUAGUUCUGUCACCACCUCCCUGUGCAGACUUGAUGGAGUCACCUGGAAGUGACUCUGGAGAGGGAGAGCCUCCGCAGGGCCUCCCGCCCCCAGGCGGCAGAGCGCCUAGCAGAGCCUCUGGCUUUCCUUAGGCCGGCUCCCUCCUGGCAUGGGCUUGCCCUCUCCCCCAUCACUUUUUACCCCUGGCAUCCAGUGGUGUCUUACUCAACACCUUCUGAGGUUGUAUGCUGGGUGCUGGGAAACUUAAGAACACGAACCACUCAGUCAUGGUUUGGAUGAAAGAAGUGGC
rnacentral:lncRNA from 1 species